AUAAAAGUGGCAGAUGGCUCAAGGAACUCCAGUGUGAGACACACGUCAUUGAAGGAAGGUUGAAAAAUCUUGAAGAGUAGAGACCAAAGCUGCUUCAGUGUCCCACUUACCCACAUCGAAUCACUAUUGAUAUUACUGUGCUUAUCUACCUAGUGUUCUAUGGGCACCUGUCCCUAGGGAAGUUGGGGGAGAAGUCAAGAGGAUUUUAAAUAAGGCAAGGGAAGAAGUGGA